CUCAGUAUUUUGUGUUUUUUUUAGUGUAAAUCAUGUAUUUUUCUAUAUUUAAUCCACUAAUCAUGUAGGUAUUUGUUAAAGCUCAGAGAAAGUUUAAAGGUAUUAGUAUCAAAACAGUGAAAAAUGAGGAAAAAGUGG